rnacentral:rRNA from 1 species
GGGAAUAUUGGGCAAUGGGCGCAAGCCUGACCCAGCAACGCCGCGUGAAGGAAGAAGGCUUUCGGGUUGUAAACUUCUUUUAAGAGGGAAGAGUAGAAGACGGUACCUCUUGAAUAAGCCACGGCUAACUACGUGCCAGCAGCCGCGGUAAUACGUAGGUGGCAAGCGUUGUCCGGAUUUACUGGGUGUAAAGGGCGUGUAGCCGGGCCGGCAAGUCAGAUGUGAAAUCCCAAGGCUCAACCUUGGAACUGCAUUUGAAACUGUUGGUCUUGAGUAUCGGAGAGGCAGGCGGAAUUCCUAGUGUAGCGGUGAAAUGCGUAGAUAUUAGGAGGAACACCAGUGGCGAAGGCGGCCUGCUGGACGACAACUGACGGUGAGGCGCGAAAGCGUGGGGAGCAAACAGA